AACGAACGCUGGCGGCACGCCUUAGGCAUGCAAGUCGAACGAAUCCUUCGGGAUUAGUGGCAAACGGGUGAGUAACACGUGGGAAUCUACCCCAAGGUGUGGGAUAACAGUGGGAAACUGCUGCUAAUACCACAUAAUGUCUCCGGACCAAAGGUUUACUGCCUUGGGAGGAGCCCGCGUCAGAUUAGCUUGUUGGUGAGGUAAUGGCUUACCAAGGCGACGAUCUGUAGCUGGUUUGAGAGGAUGAUCAGCCACACUGGGACUGAGACACGGCCCAGACUCCUACGGGAGGCAGCAGCUAGGAAUAUUGGACAAUGGGGGAAACCCUGAUCCAGCGAUGCCGCGUGAGUGAUGAAGGCCUUAGGGUUGUAAAGCUCUUUCGCCUGUGAUGAUAAUGACAGUAGCAGGUAAAGAAACCCCGGCUAACUCCG
rnacentral:rRNA from 1 species